GUGAACGCUGGCGGUAGGCCUAACCCCUGCAAGUCGAACGGCAGCACAGUAAGCGCUUGCUCUUACGGGUGGCGAGUGGCGGACGGGUGAGGAAUACAUCGGAAUCUACUUUUUCGUGGGGGAUAACGUAGGGAAACUUACGCUAAUACCGCAUACGACCUACGGGUGAAAGCAGGGGAUCUUCGGACCUUGCGCGAUUGAAUGAGCCGAUGUCGGAUUAGCUAGUUGGCGGGGUAAGGGCCCACCAAGGCGACGAUCCGUAGCUGGUCUGAGAGGAUGAUCAGCCACACUGGAACUGAGACACGGUCCAGACUCCUACGGGAGGCAGCAGUGGGGAAUAUUGGACAAUGGGCGCAAGCCUGAUCCAGCCAUACCGCGUGGGUGAAGAAGGCCUUCGGGUUGUAAAGCCCUUUUGUUGGGAAAGAAAAGCAGCAGGUUAAUACCCCGCUGUUCUGACGGUACCCAAAGAAUAAGCACCGGCUAACUUCGUG
rnacentral:rRNA from 1 species